CCACCAUUCGAGGUGGUGUUGGUCCCAAAAUGACCGGCUGGUCUUCUGUUUCCAACCCCAGCCAAGCUCCGUCGCCAGCAGCUGCAAAUCUCGCCGGAAACUGCAGAAAAUCCGGCGGUUUUUCCCGAAUUUUCAAAUCACUCGUUCUCUCUCAUUUCUCCACCAAAUUGGACGUAUAAGGUACUCCGACCCAGCAUACGCAGCAGGCGGGACCCUCUAAGGGUCAAGCUGUGUGGGACUACUUCCAGUAGCGACUGAGCUUUGCAGUUGAGCCAGACCGGGUGCAGCUUGGAAUUCGAGUCUUCGUAGAG